rnacentral:rRNA from 1 species
CCUACGGGGGGCAGCAGUGGGGAAUAUUGGGCAAUGGAGGCAACUCUUACCCAGCAAUGCCGCGUGAAUGAAGAAGGUCUUCGGAUUGUAAAGUUCUUUAAUUGGGGACGAAAAAAAUGACGGUACCCAAGUAAUAAGCCCCGGCUAACUACGUGCCAGCAGCCGCCGUAAUACGUAGGGGGCAAGCGUUGUUCGGAAUGACUGGGCGGAAAGGGUGAGUAGGCGGUGUAGCAAGUUAGAAGUGAAAUACCUAGGGCUUAACUCAGGUGCUGCUUCUAAAACUGCUAUACUUGAGUGCAGUAGAGGAAAGUGGAAUUCCAAGUGUAGCGGUGGAAUGCGUAGAUAUUAGGAGGAACACCAGUGGCGAAGGCGACUUUCUGGACUGUAACUGACGCUGAGGUACGAAAGUGUGGGGAGCAAACAGGAUUAGAUACCCCUGUAGUC